GUUCACUGCCGUACAGGCAGUCUUCAAA
rnacentral:other from 16 species